AGUGAACGCUGGCGGUAGGCCUAACACAUGCAAGUCGAACGGCAGCACAGUAAGAGCUUGCUCUUACGGGUGGCGAGUGGCGGACGGGUGAGGAAUACAUCGGAAUCUACUUUUUCGUGGGGGAUAACGUAGGGAAACUUACGCUAAUACCGCAUACGACCUACGGGUGAAAGCAGGGGAUCUUCGGACCUUGCGCGAUUGAAUGAGCCGAUGUCGGAUUAGCUAGUUGGCGGGGUAAAGGCCCACCAAGGCGACGAUCCGUAGCUGGUCUGAGAGGAUGAUCACCCCCACUGUAACUGAGACACGGUCCAGACUCCUACGGGAGGCACCAGUGGGGAAUAUUGGACAAUGGGCGCAAGCCUGAUCCAGCCAUACCGCGUGGGUGAAGAAGGCCUUCGGGUUGUAAAGCCCUUUUGUUGGGAAAGAAAAGCAGCAGGUUAAUACCCCGCUGUUCUGACGGUACCCAAGGAAUAAGCACCGGCUAACUUCGUG
rnacentral:rRNA from 1 species